rnacentral:rRNA from 1 species
CGGACGGGUGAGUAACGCGUGGAAAACCUGCCGUAUACUGGGGGAUAACACUUAGAAAUAGGUGCUAAUACCGCAUAAGCGCACAGCUUCGCAUGAAGCGGUGUGAAAAACUCUGGUGGUAUACGAUGGUUCCGCGUCUGAUUAGCUAGUUGGUGGGGUAAUGGCCUACCAAGGCAACGAUCAGUAGCCGGCCUGAGAGGGUGAACGGCCACAUGGGACUGAGACACGGCCCAAACUCCUACGGGAGGCAGCAG